ACUUAAGUGAUGACUUGGUGAGAUCACCGAUUUCAAUAAAGUAGGUGCUUUACCUUCAGUUCCACCAGGUGAUGCUGUGGGGAAGAAAUAACAGUUACUGAUGGGAUGCUUUCAGAUAAGACAUGGCAUACUGUCCGUACCUAUCUGACCAGGCUUAUACACAGGUUUCUCUGUCU